rfam:Triticum aestivum genome assembly, contig: Triticum_aestivum_CS42_TGACv1_scaffold_221191_3B
UGUGUACUCCCUCCAUUGCAAAAUACUUGACUUCCAUUUGUCCAAAAAUGGAUGUACCUAUAUACUAAAACAUGUCUAGAUACAUAUAUAUUUUGACAAAUAGAAGGCAUGUAUUGUGCAACGGAGGGAGUUGAAU